CAGUCGCCACGGGAAUACGAAGGGUGCAAGCGUUAAUCGGAAUUACUGGGCGUAAAGCGUGCGUAGGCGGUGAGUUAAGUCUGCUGUGAAAUCCCCGGGCUCAACCUGGGAAUGGCAGUGGAUACUGGCUCGCUAGAGUGUGUCAGAGGAUGGUGGAAUUCCCGGUGUAGCGGUGAAAUGCGUAGAGAUCGGGAGGAACAUCAGUGGCGAAGGCGGCCAUCUGGGACAACACUGACGCUGAGGCACGAAAGCGUGGGGAGCAAACAGGAUUAGAUACCCGCGUAGUCCCUGUCUCUUAUAC
rnacentral:rRNA from 1 species